rnacentral:rRNA from 1 species
UACGUAGGGGGCAAGCGUUGUCCGGAUUUAUUGGGCGUAAAGAGCGUGUAGGCGGCCAGACAAGUCUGCUGUGAAAACUCGAGGCUCAACCUCGAGCUGUCGGUGGAAACUGUCUGGCUAGAGUCCGGAAGAGGAGAGUGGAAUUCCUGGUGUAGCGGUGAAAUGCGCAGAUAUCAGGAAGAACACCUAUGGCGAAGGCAGCUCUCUGGGACGGUACUGACGCUGAUGCGCGAAAGCUAGGGGAGCGAACGGG